rnacentral:tRNA from 1 species
GCCCUUCUACCCCAAAUGGCAGAGGGACCGGAUUCAAAAUCCGGUAGUUGCGCGUUCGAAUCGCGCGAAGGGCA